rnacentral:sRNA from 1 species
AGGCGAAGACGCCUGCGUAAUGCCAACUUUUAGCGCACGGCUCACCAAGAGCCAUUUCCCUGGACCGGAUACAGGAAUCGUAUUCGGUCUUUUUUU